ACGCCGGCGAGUGGCGAACGGGUGAGUAAUGCAUCGGAACGUACCCAGUAGUGGGGGAUAACUUACCGAAAGGUAAGCUAAUACCGCAUACGCACUGAGGUGGAAAGCAGGGGACCGCAAGGCCUUGCGCUAUUGGAGCGGCCGAUGUCGGAUUAGCUAGUUGGUGGGGUAAAGGCCUACCAAGGCGACGAUCCGUAGCGGGUCUGAGAGGAUGAUCCGCCACACUGGAACUGAGACACGGUCCAGACUCCUACGGGAGGCAGCAGUGGGGAAUUUUGGACAAUGGGCGCAAGCCUGAUCCAGCCAUGCCGCGUGAGUGAAGAAGGCCUUCGGGUUGUAAAGCUCUUUCGGCCGGGAAGAAAUCGUGGUGGCUAAUACCUGCCAUGGAUGACGGUACCGGACUAAGAAGCACCGGCUAACUACGUGCCAGCAGCCGCGGUAAUACGUAGGGUGCGAGCGUUAAUCGGAAUUACUGGGCGUAAAGCGUGCGCAGGCGGUUGUGUAAGACAGGCGUGAAAUCCCCGGGCUCAACCUGGGAACUGCGCUUGUGACUGCACGGCUAGAGUACGGCAGAGGGGGGUGGAAUUCCACGUGUAGCAGUGAAAUGCGUAGAGAUGUGGAGGAACACCGAUGGCGAAGGCAGCCCCCUGGGUCGAUACUGACGCUCAUGCACGAAAGCGUGGGGAGCAAACAGGAUUAGAUACCCUGGUAGUCCACGCCCUAAACGAUGUCGACUAGUUGUUGGAGGGGUAAAACCCUUUAGUAACGUAGCUAACGCGUGAAGUCGACCGCCUGGGGAG
rnacentral:rRNA from 1 species